CUUUCUUUUUUUUUUUUAAUUACAGCUCAUUACGGCCUAUCCUUUCCUCCAGGUGACCAUAUUUCACACUUAUAUUAUCCAUUAUUGAAUUCUCUUUUUCCUUCCAUUAAUGGCUCUUUUUUUCCAAGUCAUCACUCUUCUUCAGACAUCACAGAGUUUGUUAGCAUGGUUCUGUCUCUCAGCAAGACUGUAGGACUGUCACAAGCAAGUAUUUUCUUGACUUUUCCAUUGUUAUUCACCCAAACACCCAAAACGUUAACAAAAUGAGAGUUUUCAAUGACAUUCAGUGGUCAUGUAGAGGAGAAUAUGAAAUACAAGUAAUGCUGCAUCAAGUUUUCUAUAGUCUGUAAUGUUAGGGGAUAGGAGACAGACCUGUCAUAAUCAAUAUUCUGCCUAACUCUGAAGAAUACUGUGACAACAUGAAGAGUUCCCCAUAUUUACUGCACAAAACAUACUGCACAGCAAACACUUCCAGCAGAAGUUUUUCCACGCACCGAGAGCAGUCUCGGUCAUCUUGUAUUAGCAAAAUGAAAAUUAAUCAGCUCUAGUUUUAUAUGUGUAAUUUCACACCCCUUGGAGAUAUGUAUGCAUGUUUGUUGUUGUACUACAAUAGUAGUACCUAAUAAUUUUUUCCUCCUUAGAUACAACAUCUAGGCAAUAUGUACAUAUAUAACCAGCUAUGCCAGAGUCUUUCAAAUAUUAAUUGACCGACAAGCCAUGGCGAUAAUAUUGGUGCAUUCGGCUCCUGCAAGUCAUCCUAACAGUAAGUCAAGAAAAUAAUCUCAGUCAAUGCUAUGGUGUCAGCUCUGCCUUUAAACCGUGCUUUUAUAGUUCUCUUACAGCCCUCCCACCUGCUGGAAAAACAAUUGUAACUGGUCUUUUAAUUUCCCCUAAAACUGUUGAAAGAUAAUUGGGCUAUAAAGAGAAGUUUUCAAACCCCAGCAACUUAUUGGCAGCUCAUCCCAUGAAGCAAAAUACAUUUUCGUGUGUUAAGAAAAAAAAAAAAAAAGCUGCAAGGUUACUAUUCUGAUAAAUACAUUAAACCAAAACCAAAACCAAAAACAAAAACAAAAACAAAAAA
rnacentral:lncRNA from 1 species